rnacentral:rRNA from 1 species
GACGAACGCUGGCGGCGUGCUUAACACAUGCAAGUCGAGCGGAGCGGCGAACGGGGGAGGAAAGCGGGAGGAACUGCCCCCCUCUCGGGGAUAACAGUUGGAAACGGCUGCUAAGACCGGAUAGUGGGGGAUGACUCGCGUCCUAGGAGCUUGUUGGUGGGGUAGUGGCCUACCAAGGCGACGACGGGGAGCCGGCCUGGGAGGGCGACCGGCACCAUGAGGCUAAGAUACGGCCCAAACUCCUACGGGGGGCAGCAGUGGGGAGUAUUGCGCAAUGGGGGCGAACCUGAUGAAGCACCGCCGCGUGCGGGAUGACGGCCUUCGGGUUGUAAACCGCUUUCAGCCAGGACUCGGUAGUGGCAGAAUCAGCGCCCGCUAACUACGUGCCAGCAUCCGCCUUAAUAC